rnacentral:rRNA from 1 species
UACGAAGGGGGCUAGCGUUGCUCGGAAUCACUGGGCGUAAAGGGUGCGUAGGCGGGUCUUUAAGUCAGGGGGGAAAUCCUGGAGCUCAACUCCAGAACUGCCUUUGAUACUGAAGAUCUUGAGUUCGGGAGAGGUGAGUGGAACUGCGAGUGUAGAGGUGAAAUUCGUAGAUAUUCGCAAGACCACCAGUGGCGAAGGCGGCUCACUGGCCCGAUACUGACGCUGAGGCACGAAAGCGUGGGGAGCAAACAGG